rnacentral:lncRNA from 1 species
GAAGUGAACAGCUGCUGGGUAUUGAAACCAGCCCUCACGGUUGGGUCCCUGCCACCAUGGCAACACUCUGGUUUCUGAGCUGGAGUGGCCAAGGCACAAUGGGGUGGUUCCAUGGCCCAGAAGCACUCUAGCUACAGAUUAGUUUAUUUCAGGACUAUAUUAAGUUUCCCAACUUCUGUCAUGAUAUAGUCCAAAGAGAACCUGGACCACGCAGACAUCAAACAGAACAUGACACUGACCCAUUCUAUCAGUGACGUUGUGCUGAUUGCACAGGACAGAUGAGAGGCUCGUAUACUAGAAGUCUUGCAUCAUCUUUAUGUAAAUCACUGUACUUGGCUUCGUGAGAAAUAUAAAAAUGAAUUGCUUCAAUCCCUGGACUCAAGGAUCCUGUGUUACCAAGUCAUAUGAUACUUCAAAAUCUGUGAUUCCAUGAAGCCAAGAGUAGCUCUUCAACAGGAAAUGAAUGAGUGCUUCAGCUUCUGAUCCCAUUAGUAAGAAAAUACAGUCUUAUGAGCAAUGAUGGAGCUGCAUCUCUUAGGGGCAUUUGAUUCCCAAGAGACCAAAGAGCAAAGAGAAUGUCAAUUUAAAAAAAUCAAAUGUUUCCAUGACUUAGCUAUUUAACUGCUUUAAAAUGAAUGAAUGCUGCUUCAAGUUCUUUCAAAUACCCCACAUCUUGGCAACAACGAAAGGAAUUAACAUGAAGAAAAUUUACAAUCUUUCAUCACAUCGAACAAUGUCCCACAUUUGAAAAGUUCACAGCACAGAUUUCUGGUUACUGAAAGAAAGGAAAGACCUUCUUUGGAUUUGAAUAAACAGAUGGACUUUCUUCUCCUUUU